GUGGUAAAUGUUGUCCAAGUCUAAUAUGACCUCAAAGGCUUGUGCAGCAACAUCCAGUUUCUUGAUGAGCAUAAAUGUGGUCUCAUUUUUAUGCUAGCAAUAAGGAUUCAUUUAGCAUCGAGUGUAUGCAUAAACAUUGUAGGAAAAUGUUAAAUCGCAUGAAAGAUUAGCGUUUUCUGAAUUUCAAAAUGUGUUUUGGUCAUUCGUAGUAUCUCAUUUAUUAUUAGAACAAUGACAAAUGG
rnacentral:lncRNA from 1 species